rnacentral:rRNA from 1 species
CCCUUAGAUGUCCGGGGCUGCACGCGCGCUACACUGAAGGAAUCAGCGUGCUAAAACCAUUGUCGAAAGGCAUUGGUAAACCCAUUAAAAUCCUACGUGAUUGGGAUCGGGAAUUGCAAUUAUUUCCCUUGAACGAGGAAUUCCCAGUAAGUGUGGGUCAUAAGCUCGCGUUGAUUACGUCCCUGCCCUUUGUACACACCGCCCGUCGCUGCCCGGGACUGAGCCGUUUCGAGAAAAGCGGGGACUGCUGCUGUCGGGGCUUUCGGGCCUUGGCUUCGGUGGAAACCGCUUUAAUCGCAAUGGCUUGAACCGGGCAAAAGUCGUAACA